CUCCGAGUCCAGAAGCCCUUGAGCUAUCAGCUCCUCCUUGAUCCGCGCCUCCAGGGAACGUGUGUGAGGAACACUGGGAGCAAAGAAACCGGCAGGAAACUGUCACUACCAGGGGGUUUUAAGAAAAAUCCUCUAAGCUUUGGGAAUCACAUGAAUCAUCAGAGUAGAAAACCUGGAUCUGACCUCUACAAGGGCCUGAAGCAGACGCUGAGUGAGCGGACCAAAGGGACAACCGUCUUCUGGUGAUUCGUGCUGAGAUUCGGAUUUCUUCAGCAGUGAGUCUACAUCUACAUGGAUGAACACAUGGAUGAGUGCUGACAUGGAAACACGGCUGUG